rnacentral:rRNA from 1 species
UUCGUAAAAGGGUGUUGUACGUACGAUCUAACGAUCAUCAGAAGAUAAAUUUUUUUCUUUUCUUUUUGUUCCGACAAGGUCCUGGUUUAAGUCAUAAACUUCGGAUCGCACCCACAGGUAAAACAAGCCGCUACCGUUGCUGGAGGCCAGGGCCAAGUAGCCGCGCCUUGAGGGUGUCCGAUGCGCUGGAGACGACGCUGGACGUCCGCGUCGCCUUGCGGUGCAGCGACGAGUUUACGGACGAGAAGCGGGAUGGACGCGAGGAGCAGGACCGACGGCCGCACGAGGAGCACGAUGCGAAGCGGCAGUGGGGCGUCCAGUUCCGGAUGCAGCUCCUGCGGGCAGAGUAGUCGAAGCAGGAGCACCUGUGUGCUGGACGGAGCCGCCGCUGGUGUCCCGGCAGAAAGGAGAUGUUGCACAGGUAGAGCCAGCGGGACUGUCAAGCAUUGUGGUUACCUCGAUACCGGUAGUUCAUGUGUUUCGGGGAGCACCGGUGGAAGGAGAAGGUGCUGGCCGCAGACAUGUUGCAAUGGCACCGCCUGCUCCCCGUGUCCGUGUCCGGCGAGUUCUCCCUCGACGUGGAGGAGGUCUGGCGGCCCCUCUGGGGCACGCACGAGCUGCGCCGCCCCCCGCUCCUCAAGUACUUCGUCUUACGCUGCCCCCACUAGUUUCACCUCUACGCGGAGAGACCUGCCUAGUGAGAGCCGUAACCGUUGUCCGCGGACGACCUCGAGUCGACGGGCGAGUGCGACGUUGCGGGCGGCGGCCCGGGGCUACAGCAGCACAAGGGACUCCAGCUGACGUAUGGACUGUUCGGGUUCUUUUAGCAGAAGACUGCCUUGUAGUUCACAGAUAUCAAACCUUAUAAAGAACUCGUAAAGUCGUACGUAUAUAAGUAUAAGGGAGACCAGAAAAAUGAGGCGCAUAUUCUAGAGAGACUUUAGUUUGAAGUUUUUCAAACUAGUUAAAAUAUCUUUUUUUAUAGAUGUAGAUAUUAUGAUUACAAUGUGUUAUACUCUCAAUUUAAGUAUUACAUAGAUAACUAUAUCUAAAGCAUAACAUUUACAAAAAUGAAAAAAAUAUUUUUUACCCAGUUUGGCAUACUUAAAACUGAAGUUUGUUUAGAAUAUACGCUUCAUUAUUCCUGGCUUUCAUCGUUACUGGGCGGUGAUCCGUUCAAUAACUGGUGGGCCAAAUACUCCAUAAAACAUUUUGUCACUGG